rnacentral:snRNA from 1 species
GGAUCUGAUGGCGAUCUGGCUGCAGUGUCUGUCACCCCAUGGGUCACCACAGUGGACUCAGCUGAUCUAGCAAUCCUCUCCCCUCCUCACCGCUCCGUGUGCAUCUCUCCUGAAGCUGAGUGAGAAGGAAGAGGGUGACCCUCUUGUAUUCUUGGUGAAGGGUAUAGGACUAGCUGCGCUCCCCUGCUAGAAGUUUCAAGCAAGCUCUCAAAAGCUGAGUUAUUGUAAGGAACUUUUACUCUCAUAUACAUAUCCAACUGCCCCCCACACAGCGUCUCCUU